UUUUGACUUUAUUUCGGCUUUGUUUCAAUGCUAACAUUUUUAUUUCUUUAAUAACACCCAGCUUUAUAUAAAAAUAUUAUUAAAACCGUGAUAACAUUAAUUAUAAUUUUUUUGAUUCCAUUUAUGUAAAUGUUUUUUAGGACUAGAUUCCGGAAAUAAUAAAACAGAUGAAAAUUUGUUGCCUCAAAAUAAGGACGAAGUAAUAAACCAACACACAUAUAAUGUUGAUCAUAUUGCCUACAAUUUAAAAUUAAGUAGAGCAUCAUUUAGGGAUGUACCGACUCGAUUUAGUAUAAACACUAUGGUUGAACAUAUAAAAGGUACAACAUACAUACGUACACAUACAUAUAUAUAUAUAUAUACAUCUUUAAUCAUGUAAUAAUUAUGAUA
rnacentral:lncRNA from 1 species